rnacentral:rRNA from 1 species
GACGAACCGUGCGAACGUUAUUCGGAUUCACUGGGCUUAAAGGGCGCGUAGGCGGCAGUACGAGUCGGGGGUGAAAUCUUUCGGCCCAACCGGAAAACAGCUUCCGAUACCGUACUGCUUGAGGGGGAUAGGGGCACACGGAACUUCCGGUGGAGCGGUGAAAUGCGUAGAUAUCGGAAGGAACGCCGGUGGCGAAAGCGGUGUGCUGGGUCCCUUCUGACGCUGAGGCGCGAAAGCCAGGGGAGCGAACGGG